UCGGAUUGCAGGCUGCAAUUCGCCUGCAUGAAGUCGGAGUUGCUAGUAAUCGCGGAUCAGCAUGCCGCGGUGAAUACGUUCCCGGGCCUUGUACACACCGCCCGUCACACCACUCGAGUUGUCUGCACCCGAAGUCGCUGGCCUAACCAUUUGGAGGGAGGCGCCGAAGGUGUGGAGGGUAAGAGGGGGUGAAGUCGUAACAAGGUACC
rnacentral:rRNA from 1 species